rnacentral:rRNA from 1 species
UGGGGAAUCUUGGGCAAUGGGCGAAAGCCUGACCCAGCGACGCCGCGUUGGGGAUGAAGCCCUUCGGGGUGUAAACCCAUGUUGUAGGGGACGAAGAAAGUGACGGUACCCUACGAGGAAGCCCCGGCUAACUACGUGCCAGCAGCCGCGGUAAGACGUAGGGGGCAAGCGUUGUCCGGAAUUACUGGGCGUAAAGGGCACGCAGGCGGUGCGCCAAGUCGAGGGUGUAAAGUUACGGCUCAACCGUGACAUUGCAAUCGAUACUGGCGCGCUGGAGUGCGGGAGAGGGAGGUGGAAUUCCCGGUGUAGCGGUGAAAUGCGCAGAUAUCGGGAGGAACACCGGUGGCGAAGGCGGCCUCCUGGGCCACGACUGACGCUGAGGAGCGAAAGCUGGGGGAGCGAACA